UUCAAUUAGUACUAAUAACGAUAAAAAACACUAAUGAUGCAUAUUUUUAUAUUUUUAAUAUAAAUCCGGAAAUAGGGUCAGAUUUUAGAACUUGUCCGUAUCUCCAUGCCCUCUGGUAUUAGACCGCGAGAUCGAACCUAACCUCAUUUUCAUUGAAAACAGUUGGAAAAGCAUGCAUGAAGUACACGCACGAGAAUAUGGAAAGACACGGAAUUAUGAAAAGGCACCAUAUAUUGCCUCGGAUUCGAUCUACUUCGAAUGUGACAAAAUUAAUUUUGGUGAAUAAAUAAAUAAUUUAUGUUGUAGUUACAAAAUCCAGGUACUUUUUUUUACAUAAUGUGCGUCGCGGUGUGAAUAAUCAAGCCACCUUUAUCCGUGAAGCUUUUUGAACAGUUUGCUUUGCAAUUGUGCUCGAUUAAUGAUCCUAACUCGUAAACUGCAAGGUGUGGAGGUUCUGUAAGUGGAACUUCGUGCCCGUUAACCUGCAAUUUAUUAAUUGUUUCAAUUUCCGGUUUUGGAAUUUUUUAAACAAUCAAGUAGUACUUUGAUCGUUCGAUUUGUAUAUCGGAAUGCUUGCUUUAUCCCUAUACUGCAGUCGCAGUGGACGCCUGUACUGAUUGUUCUUUGAAAUCCUGUAAAAUUCUCCGGAUCUUGUCCUGUCACUUCAAUCUUAAUAAAUAAAUACGAUUUAUACUAUCCAUAUCGAAUAUUAUGUCAGAUUAAGGAUUCUGGAAUACGUUCAUGCAGAAUGUUUAAUAAAAAAUUUCCGUACAGUGA